rnacentral:misc_RNA from 1 species
UUUUAACAAACAAUUCUCUCAUUAUAUUCAAGUUUAGCUAUGAUUAUCGAACAAGUACCACAUAAAAAUAUGCUUCAAACUUGUAUAAGCCACCAUAACAUUAGAGUUAUUCCCUUCACUUAAUAUGAACCUUCUCACACCCAGAAUGAGUAGGCAGACUCUCAUCCAUCUUCUCCUCACAUGGCUGCUGCUGGUGGCUUUUCUACAUCAUUUCUCCAACCAUAUCAAGGUUCAAGCUAUCGAAUCAGCUCAUUUCAAACUCAAGCCUGCACAACCAAGCUUAAGAUCACACAAGGCAAACAUCUGGCCAUCCUGGGUAGCAGGGAAGAAAGUUCACAAAACUCCAUCUGGGCCCAAUCCAGUAGGCAAUCACAACCCACCAACUAAGCAAUGAGUCAAUGGAUUCACUUCUUCAGCACUAGUAGACAGAGAUGGACAGUAGGUCAGAUGUAUUCAUUUAGGUUGGAAAACCCUGAUCCCUGAGGUUUUGUGCUUGUACAAAAAUGAAGUUUAUUUUAACAUUUGAACAUCUGAGACCAAUAUCGUUUAAAAAUGCAUGAUUAUUAUCUCUAUGUACUUUUUUUUCCCACUAGGUCUAAAGCCCUUUUCGAGCAAUUUUUUUGAGAUUGCUGUGGGUUGAUUUCAUUCGCUUACAUCCAGUUAGUGGAAAUAGGCAUCUUUCACUAAUAUAUGUAAUCUCAGUGCCUGAUGGUUCUCAUAAAAUGUUUGGAAAAGCAAAGUGAAACAACUGAGAAAUACCUUUCUCAAGCAUUUUCAACAAAUAAAGCACUGCAUUUUGAUGUGAUUUUU